GUUCGAAUCCUGCACGACCCACCAAUAUACAAGGUGGUAACUGGUAGAGAACGUGAAGGAUAAUGUUGCUUUAGCAACGGCCCGAAGGGCGAGGCAAAGCCGAGUCAUCCUGCACGACCCACCA
rnacentral:sRNA from 1 species